AUGCUUUCAGUUCAAACAGACGAUGAUUGGUGCGUUCACAGACAAUCCGUGAAAGGUGCUGCCUUAACCUUGUUAUACUCUGCGCCUCAGCCCGUCUGAAA